CAUUAGAGAAGUAAAAGUCGUAACAAGGUUUCCGUAGGUGAACCUGCGGAAGGAUCAUUAAAUAAUUUGAGUAUGCUUAUGCAUAUUUCUAAUUUACUGUGAACUGUUUUACUGUUUAGCGUUUUGAGGGAUUGCCUAAAGAUUAUAGGGAUAGGUCUUUAGGAUGUUAACCUAGCUAAAGUCAGGCUUAGGCCUGGUAUCCUAAUUCAUUAUUUACCAAAAGAAUUCAGAAUUAAUAUUGUAACAUAAGCGUAAAAAACUUAUAAAACAACUUUUAACAACGGAUCUCUUGGUUCUCGCAUCGAUGAAGAACGUAGCAAAGUGCGAUAACUAGUGUGAAUUGCAUAUUCAGUGAAUCAUCGAGUCUUUGAACGCAUCUUGCGCUCAAUGGUAUUCCAUUGAGCACGCCUGUUUCAGUAUCAACAACAACCCACAUCCACAAUUUUGUUGUGAAUGGAAGUGAGAAUUUCGGACUUGCGCUGAAUUCUUUAAAAUUAUUAGGCCUGAACUAUUGUUCUUUUAGCCUGAACAUUUUUUUUAAUAUAAAGGAAUGCUCUAGUUAUUAAGACUGUCUUGGGGGCCUCCCAAAUAAAUCAUUUUUUAAACUUGAUCUGAAA
rnacentral:rRNA from 1 species